AACAAGGUCUCCGUUGGUGAACCAGCGGAGGGAUCAUUAAUGAGCGUGUAAAAACACUCAACCAUAGCGAACUUACCAGUGGGAUGUAUCGUUGCUUCGGUGGGCGGCCCCAGGGGGGGCCCGCGGCCUCACGGUGCCCGCCGGAGCUACAAAACUCUUAGUUAUUUUGUAACCUCUGAGGAACAAGCAAAUAAGUUAAAACUUUCAGCAACGGAUCUCUUGGUUCUGGCAUCGAUGAAGAACGCAGCGAAAUGCGAUAAGUAAUGUGAAUUGCAGAAUUCAGUGAAUCAUCGAAUCUUUGAACGCACAUUGCGCCCGCCGGUAUUCCGGCGGGCAUGCCCGUUCGAGCGUCAUCUCUAACCUCAAGCUAGUCUUGGUGUUGGGGCCCCACGGCUUGCCGUGGGCCCUGAAAAUCAGUGGCGGGCUCGCCGUGAUCCCGAGCGCAGUAGUUAUAUCUCGCUGGGGCUGAUCGAGCGUGAUCCGGCCGUUAAAACCUGCCGUCAGGAGCUCGCUCCUGUACGCAACCCACCUUAGUUUGACCUCGGAUCGGGUAGGAAUACCCGCUGAACUUAAGCAUAUCA
rnacentral:rRNA from 1 species